GAGGAUGUGGUGUAAUGGUAACACACUCCCCUUGGGAGGGAGAGUCGCAGUUCAAAUCUGACAUCUUCU
rnacentral:tRNA from 1 species